rnacentral:rRNA from 1 species
AACGAACGCUGGCGGCAUGCCUAACACAUGCAAGUCGAACGAGACCUUCGGGUCUAGUGGCGCACGGGUGCGUAACGCGUGGGAACCUGCCCUUAGGUUCGGAAUAACUCCCCGAAAGGGGUGCUAAUACCGGAUAAUGUCUUCGGACCAAAGAUUUAUCGCCUUUGGAUGGGCCCGCGUUGGAUUAGCUAGUUGGUAGGGUAAAAGCCUACCAAGGCGACGAUCCAUAGCUGGUCUGAGAGGAUGAUCAGCCACACUGGGACUGAGACACGGCCAAGACUCCUACGGGAGGCAGCAGUGGGGAAUAUUGGACAAUGGGCGAAAGCCUGAUCCAGCAAUGCCGCGUGAGUGAUGAAGGCCUUAGGGUUGUAAAGCUCUUUUACCCGGGAUGAUAAUGACAGUACCGGGAGAAUAAGCUCCGGCUAACUCCGUG